AGGCAUAGUUAAUAUGUUGUCCGAAAUCACCCCAAGUUUUUUUAAAAAUGAAGACGAUUUAAGACUACAGUCUACAGUGUGAGAUUAAAUAACUUAACAACUUCUACAUACAUCAAUUAAGACGGACAAGUUACCGAGUAGAUAAUUGAAAACCUCAAUCAAAUAUGUCGCCGCCAGAAAUACUGACUUAUCAAUUAAAAUAUUAAAUUCGUUUGCCGACUCCGCUAUAGACGCUAUAGUUAGUCUGUAGUUUGAAUUCUGAAUUUGAAUCAUUUGAUGACAUUUGAACAGAAAUACAGACUACAGUCGUAUAGAAUUCUGGUACCUAAUACAUUUUAGUACAAAAUUACCAUGAAGAAGUGUAAAGUGUCCAAGGUAUCGCCACACCUCAAUUUUAAUUUGUAAGUAUUAUUUUCUAUACUCUCUCACGAAUGAAAGGUACCUCGUUUUGACGAAGACCACUCAAUCCGCACAUCCACGACCUACGCAAGAAACCAGUUAUGACAAAGAUCGUCGUACCGAGUAAACACGAUGGCUGCAUCGGCGUGAACAGAUCGCAGGUGAUUCUCGUAUCCCACAGUCUACAUCCGCAAAAAGAUUUCAAAAAAAUGAAAAUAGAAGGAAGAAUGGCUCAAAAGCUUCGGGUUGGAUGAUUACCUAAUUUAUAACUGGCAUAGAAUCUGCCGUAAUCAUUUCACUAUUAGUGAUUACAAACCAGGCUCAGUAAAUAAGCAAAUAUUAUGGCCAGAAGCUGUCCCAAUCCCAAAACAUAAUACCAACAACUUGUUAUAGAAAGAUAGGUAAAAUAAGCAAUAUAAUAUAAUAUUACUAAUGUAAUAUUUCAUAAUAUAAAUAAAAUACAUUUUAAUACCUCGAAGCUACUCUGGUAUGACUUAGCACGUCUAAUAAAUUGUCUAAGAGAAAAUUAUCUUCCUCUAACCAUGAGAUUGAAGAAAAUGAACAGACAAAUAAAGGAUUUGAAGACCUUACAUUUGAUGAUAUUAAUUCACCCUUAAAAAACUUAGUUCAAAGCGCAACAUUAAUAAUUUAAGCUUACAUAAUAUUAUCUAUGGUUACUAAACAAAAAUGUUGUCAAUGAAAAAUAGUCUUCAUAGAAUGGAUUAUACUUAUUAUGGUUUUAAAAACUGAAAUAUAUGAUGUACCAACCACAAGGAACUAGGAAGCCGAGCCAACGUAUUCACAAUUUUUCAAAUGUUGAUUUUCUUGAAGACAAUUCUACCGACUAAGAUGAAGCAAUACAUCUCUAUAUACAUUUUAAAGAUUGUACCUCAAGUUAUAAAAAUAUAAGAGUGAACUAUAAAACUCGAAGGUAAAACAAUUUACCUGAACAAUUAACCAAUUUGAAUAGCACAGAGGGCCUCUACAUAUUUUAAUUGCAAAGACAUGCACAAUUAGUUUGGACUUCCAGUGUUAUGACAAUUGGAUCUAUAUUUUGGAACAUUGCUGAUAACUUGAUACAAAAUAAAAUUAUAUUAAAGUGUGCAAGUAUGUAAACUUUUUAAACUAAAAAGGUACAAAUUAUUAAGUUGUAUACCUUAAUUGGCAUAAAUUAUUCUGAAUUGUAUUUUUUUUCCAAUAUAUUUGUAAUUUUGAAUUAGUUAAAACUACAAUUUCUCUAGGGACACAUUUCAAUUUCUUUAUGGUAUUAAUAGUUAUUUCUAGACUCUCAGUUAAAGGCAUUUAAUAUUUUAAUGUUAAACUGUUAUGUAAGCAUUUAUUUUUCAUGAUCUCAAUACUAUAGAACGCGUAUAUAUUAGUGAGUACUGAGUAGGUACUGAAAUAUGUACCUAGUACCUACACCUAGAUGAGAUAUUGAAUCGUCGUCGUUUGAUAUCAAAAUGUGUACAUACUACAGACCUCUUGAAUCUUGUCAUACAUCGUUAAAUCUGUGAACUGAUGUAUAAUGUGUACUCUAUUUAAUUUAAUUGUACACUCAGUGAGCACUUUCUACACUGCUAAUUUUGUGAGUGAUUAUACUGUUAUGAACUCCAUUUCUCUAAUACAGUGUCAAAUUUGUUUUCGUAUUUGUUUUAAUAAAAACUGGUGUAAAACUAGUGCAACACUCAUGGAGUAGUAUAAUUACUUGGAGCACUUAUAAAUCGUCAAAUCGAAAAUGCUUUAUAACAUAUUUUUAAUUAUUAGUUUUUGUAAAUGUUAAAUUCAAAUAGAAACAUUGUAUUAUUUAUGAUCCUGUCCAUUUAGUGUCCAGCAAAUGUUACAACACCUUUGGAAGUAACUCUAAAUCUCGACUGGCUACUAUCACUGUUUUCAGUCCAACCUUUAUGUAUGGUGAUAUUAAUCUUUGGUCUAGUCUAUUUGAGAUAAUCUUACAACUGGAUAAAUGCAAAUUAUUACCUACCAUAUUAGUCAAGCCUGAAGAUUUUCUUGAGCUCAGUGGUAGAGUUUUAUUAGAAUGUGAAACAGUGCCAUUAGGUUCACAAAAAUCAGAAUCCGGAUUAUUCAGUUCACUUUACUCUUACGCUUCUGGAGGUGAGACAAUUAAUAAAAUACAGACUUCAAAUUAACUUGAGUUGAUUAUUACAUCUAGAUACUAUAAUAUAUCUUAUAGUUGCUUGGAAAGUCUAAUUACAGAGUCUAAGUUUCUCACUAUAGAAUCUUUGGAAGCUUUUGUAAAAGCCUUAAUUGGAACAUUUUAUAAACCAGAGGGUCUAUAUGUUAUACGUAUGCAGUACUCCGUCUUACUAAGGUAUAAUAUACCAAAAUGUACGUCCAGAAGUUCCAAUUUUGAAAAUAAUAUCAGGUAAUUUUACUUAAUAUCAAACUAAAAUGUAAGAACAUUAUCUGUGAUCUCUCGUUGUUUUUUCAUGAUAUUUUUAAGUGAAUUAUGAGCAUUUUAAAAUAUUAAUAUUUUACAUACUAUUAUAACUCACUUAAAAAUUAAAAAAUAACAAAAAAAACCAACUAGAAAAUACAGAUAAUGUUCUUACAUUUAAGUUUGAUAAUAGUUCAAUUCACUUUACUAUUUAAGCUAAUAAUAUCAAAUUGAAACUGCUGGACGUACAUUUUGGUAUAUUAUGCGUUAGUACCAGAUGGAAACAACACAUGCAGGUACGACGUCCUCUUUAGAAAAUUGUAUGUGCCUUAAUGCCUUGAAUUAUUUAAGUAUAAAUUGAAUAACUUAUUUUUUAGGUUAUAACAAACCAGAUUGUGAAAUAAACCAACAACUGCAUUGAAAUAGUUAUAAAUGUAUAUUAUUAUUAUUCACUUUUUAUGUUCAACGUUUCGUAUUGUAUACAUUUUCUAUUAGUUCAUAUUAUUUUAUUAAAUAUACAUUAUCAAGUUAAAAUUACUGUAGUCGCUAAUGGUAAUUUUGAUUUUACUUUCUAUUAAUGAUAAAUUUGAGUUUUGAUGAAAAUAUAUUUUCUUUGAUUGUGUUUAUCAA